UACGGAGGGUGCGAGCGUUGUCCGGAAUCACUGGGCGUAAAGGGCGCGUAGGUGGCCUGUGGAAGUCUGCGGUGAAAGCCCGGGGCUCAACCCCGGGUCGGCCGUGCGAACUGGUGGACUGGAGCUUGUCAGAGGCAGGCGGAAUUCCGGGUGUAGCGGUGGAAUGCGUAGAGAUCCGGAAGAACACCGGUGGCGAAGGCGGCCUGCUGGGACAGUGCUGACGCUGAAGCGCGACAGCGUGGGGAGCAAACAGG
rnacentral:rRNA from 1 species